rnacentral:tRNA from 1 species
GGAUGUAGCUCAGUGGUAGAGCACGUGCUCAGCAUGCAUGAGGUCCUGGGUUCAAUCCCCAGGACCUCCA